GGUCAUGGAGCCAGUAUGAACUGACUCAGUCAAACUCUGUGUCGGGGUCUCUAGGAAGCACAGUCAGCCUCUCCUGCAAGCGCAGCAGUGGAAACAUUGGAAGCAGCUAUGUGAGCUGGUACCAGCAGCACGAGGGAAGAUCCCCCACUACUGUGAUAUAUGGUGAUGAUCAGCGACCAUCCGGGAUUCCUGAUCGGUUCUCAGGCUCUAUUGACAGCUCCUCCAACUCAGCCACUCUGACCAUCAGGAAUCUGCAGACUGAGGAUGAGGCUCACUACUUCUGUCAGUCUGGUGGUAGCAAUAUUCACAGUGAUGUGAACCAUGGAGGAA